UUAGUUUAAAUUUAAAAACAAUCUUCCUCUGUCUCGUUCUUUCUCCCUCAGCCGAAAUAGUUAAUUAGUUAUACCAAAGGUACCUCCAAGAAAGAGAUGCAAAGUAGAAAACAAGAAAAUCGAACCCCUUUCUGCCUUGUAUCAAUGAAGUGUCAAUUUUAACAUGACCAACUUAUAGCAAAAGGUUAUAGGCACAUAACAGACAGACUCAUGGAGAGAUAAGAAGGGGGCAUCUUGAGAAAUCGAGUAGAGAAGACGCUCGAGUAUGAAAAAUAUAAAUUUGUCACUUAAUUAAGACGGAGCUUGUUUAGGUAUUCUUAAAAGAUUCUCUUAGUGGCGUAUUUUUGGAUGUUAUUGCGGUUGGCAAAGAGCUAGGCCUUGAUGGUUGAGUGGCUCCGCCACUAACAAAGGCAAUGGACGUUGCAGAAUUCAAGCAAAGAAAGGCCCUUUGUUUAUUGUCAACAUUUGUC
rnacentral:misc_RNA from 1 species